rnacentral:rRNA from 1 species
AUUGAACGCUGGCGGCAGGCCUAACACAUGCAAGUCGAGCGGAUGAAGGGAGCUUGCUCCUGGAUUCAGCGGCGGACGGGUGAGUAAUGCCUAGGAAUCUGCCUGGUAGUGGGGGAUAACGUCCGGAAACGGGCGCUAAUACCGCAUACGUCCUGAGGGAGAAAGUGGGGGAUCUUCGGACCUCACGCUAUCAGAUGAGCCUAGGUCGGAUUAGCUAGUUGGUGGGGUAAAGGCCUACCAAGGCGACGAUCCGUAACUGGUCUGAGAGGAUGAUCAGUCACACUGGAACUGGGACACGGUCCAGACUCCUACGGGAGGCAGCAGUGGGGAAUAUUGGACAAUGGGCGAAAGCCUGAUCCAGCCACGCCGCGUGUGUGAAGAAGGUCUUCGGAUUGUAAAGCACUUUAAGUUGGGAGGAAGGGCAGUAAGUUAAUACCUUGCUGUUUUGACGUUACCAACAGAAUAAGCACCGGCUAACUUCGUG